AAAAYGACUCUCGGCAACGGAUAUCUCGGCUCUCGCAUCGAUGAAGAACGCAGCGAAAUGCGAUACUUGGUGUGAAUUGCAGGAUCCCGCGAACCAUCGAGUUUUUGAACGCAAGUUGCGCCCAAAGCCUUUUGGUUGAGGGCACGUCUGCCUGGGUGUCACUU
rnacentral:rRNA from 1 species